AUGUUAUGUCUAUUGUUUACAUCUGUGAUUAAUAACUGUAUCCAUAUCUGUUUCAUCAAAGCUAAGGUUAUAUUUGAUUAAUGCAUUAUAUAAGUGAAUGGUGAAGUAUAAUCUAUCUAGCUGGUAUGUAUGAGCAUAGCUAGAAAACAAUAAUUCUGGACAUCUUGGAGCUUGCAGUUUCUCUUGACUUAUUAUCAUUAGUAAUUAGCAAUUUAGCAUUUUAAAUUAAACCUACUGAUGCAAAAUACUACUGCAGAAUACAAUUGCAUAAAUGUGAGAAUGGAAAAAUGUGAUGUGUAUAUUUUGGGUAGUAGCUAAGUGAGUUAGUUAGUGUCAGUUAAGUCGGUUAGUAGGUGGUCAAACAAGUCAAAGGUCCAGCUACAAAUAAUGAAGCCAUGUAUGCAAUACUCAUGUCUAAUGAAAUCCACUUACAGCCAGAUCACUUUCUUUUCUCAAAUUUCACUGAUUGUGUUUUAACUGUGAUUGAUCACUGAUUACAAGAAUUGCAGAUCACAUCAAAAAGGUUGAUCAGGUGAGACUAUAAAAAUAUCAGGUUCCUUGAUAUCAUUUAAGUGAUCAUAGUCCAAUAAUCUCAAAAAAGUAUCAUCUUUGUAGUAACUUUAAGG
rnacentral:lncRNA from 1 species